AAAUUCAAUGAAGAAGAAGGUGAUUCCAAAGUACCAUGUACAGGAUUAGAAACAUCAACCUUAAGCUAUUUGCCAAAAGAUACAGACCAAGCUUUGCAUUCGAUUUUUACAAAUGGUACAUUAGUAUGACUGUCACCAUUGUAGAGUACUGACUUUUAUGGCAGGUUACCUUGCAUAAAUCUGUAUGAUUCUGACAUUGUGUUUUUCUUUGUUGAAAUGCAUUGUGGGUCUGUACAAUUCGAAAUUUGGUCAGGAUUGACAGAUCGAAUCUCCAGGAAGAGGAAGCUAGCCUCCUUGACCACAGUUCUUUUCCUUCUUAGAAGUUUCAAGACACUCAGGCACAUCACCGAGAACACGCGAGUCGCAACGUUAAGAAUGUGCCACUAACAAAUAUGGAUAUUGUUAACCAUGAAAAAGAACCUAUCAACAAGAGCGAUGUGCAGAUAGAAAUAGCAAAUUCGCGUCAUAACAAACCAAGAAGAGCAAAUACAAAUAUUACAUCACAAGAUUAUAUUUGCACACGGGACGAUAUUUCCGUUAUUAAAUCAAUCAUGUCCUUGCAUGAAAAAACGAAGUUGGUGCACAUCAAUGAUGCAUUAUUAACGAACGCUGAGAUGAGAUGCCUUACGCAUGAUGAUGGGCAAACUUAUAGUUGUUGGGAUUUGGGGUGGCAACUUGAUUGAGAACUCAUAUAGGUGGUCAACAACUGAAGGCAAUAAAUCUAUUGUCCUUGCCACUAUGCUUCGUAAGGAUUGCAAAUACGGAAAUCUAGAAACUUCAAAUUACACCAUCCUUGCAUUCAACCCGGAUCAUACUGCAGCACGCGCACUUGAUGAUAUUCGCCAGAAAAUAAUAGGUGGGUUGAUUGAUAUGAAGUUUGUUCACCGAUUUAUUGAGUGGAGGUGAGCUUUCCUAGCAAGCGAGUUGUCUACAAAGGAUCCCGACACAGGAUGUAUACAAAGAAAGCUCGGCGCAUGUAGUAAGAUAGUAGACAUUGGUUAUGCCUAUUAUAGGAUGUAUACAAAGAAAGCUCGGCGCAUGUAGUAAGAUAGUAGACAUUGGUUAUGCCUAUUACGCAUGAUUGUGUGUUUCAAUUUGUAAGUGUAGUUAUCACGUACUUGUUUUGUAUCUACUAUGUAGGUGACUGUUUCGUCAUGUUUGUUUGUGUCUAUGGUGUUUUAAGGGAUGUGCUA